rnacentral:rRNA from 1 species
UCGGGAAUUUUGGGCAAUGGGCGAAAGCCUGACCCAGCAACGCCGCGUGAAGGAUGAAGUUUUUCGGAAUGUAAACUUCGUAAGAAUGGGAAGAAUAAAUGACGGUACCAUUUGUAAGGUCCGGCUAACUACGUGCCAGCAGCCGCGGUAAUACGUAGGGACCAAGCGUUGUUCGGAUUUACUGGGCGUAAAGGGCGCGUAGGCGGCAAUUCAAGUCAGCUGUGAAAUCUCCGGGCUUAACUCGGAACGGUCAGCUGAUACUGCUUUGCUAGAGUACGGAAGGGGCAAUCGGAAUUCUUGGUGUAGCGGUGAAAUGCGUAGAUAUCAAGAGGAACACCUGAGGUGAAGACGGGUUGCUGGGCCGAUACUGACGCUGAGGCGCGAAAGCUAGGGUAGCAAACGGG